CAGGACCGUCUCUCUUUCUUUUUCUCUCCUUCUCUCGACUCUUCCUGAAACCCAGAGAAAACAAUGUUGACCUCCGACGCCGUCCUAGCCAUCCAGCCAGCAAUUAAGCCGUCUUGACUUCGCCAAGGUCCCUCUGGCCUUAGUUUUUCCGAUCGGCAGCUAUGGGAAGAGAAACGGAGGCGAGAAGCUUCUGCUCCUCCGUCGAUUUCGGUGUUUUCGGGCGACUUCUCCUGGUAUGGUUUCUUUCUCUUGUCGUCCUCACCAUUCUAGGGUAUUCCAAUUUCAGUUUAGCUUCGAGUUUAACAAAUUUGGGUUUUUGGGAUUUUUGGUUGUUCCCUACCCUUGACGGAAUUCGUCACCGCCGGCGUUCUCUCCUUCUCCCGACGACCUGAGUCAACUCCAGAGAUGUUGGACCAUGGUUGGAAUCGACUUCAUGGCUGCUGAGCUGAGUUAGGCAGAUAGCGUCGAUUUGGGUUUUCCGGUGAAGGACCUCUGUUUGUUUUUGGUUAACGACUCAUUGAUUCAAGCAUAAUAUGGUGAUUCGAGAUGAAAGAAGACAGGAGCUAGCGAUUAUGGUUUUGGAUUGAAGAGAGAAGGAAGGAGGAAUCGAUCCUAGCUGCUGAGAUCUUUGUUGGUGCAGCUGUGUUCUUAAUUGGGAGCAGGCUUACAUAUUAAGGGCUUUGCAUGCAUCAGUUCAGUUGAUCCCCAAGUUAGUUGGAAGUAUGUGUAGUAGAGGAAAUUUAGGUGGUUCUUAAGUUAUUGACAUUUGGUGGUCAUGUGGUAUGGUCUUUUGGCCUGAUAAGACCAUGACCAGGAACAAUAGAUGAGGCUCGAUCAUUUGGCCUGUGUUUUGGUAAUAGAAUAUUAUGAAGGGUUAUGAAACAAGUGUCUAAAGUUCCCAUAUCUUACAAGUUAGUUUCUGUGAGUAUAACCUUGGCUGAAAUGGUGAAAUGAUAUUAUGGGUGUCCUUAAUAGUUUUGGACACAUCAAAUGCAAAUGUCGUUUGAAAACGUCGAAAGCUUAAAAGAUAUCACGUAGUGAAAGCUUAAAGCAUACCAGACGACAGAUAUCUAUUGUCUUAAAAAGACCAAAUG